AUACGUAGGGGGCGAGCGUUGUCCGGAAUGACUGGGCGUAAAGGGCGUGUAGGCGGCCGAUUAAGUCUGGAGUGAAAGUCCUGCUUUCAAGGUGGGAAUUGCUUUGGAGACUGGUUGGCUUGAGUGCGGAAGAGGUAAGUGGAAUUCCCAGUGUAGCGGUGAAAUGCGUAGAGAUUGGGAGGAACACCAGUGGCGAAGGCGACUUACUGGGCGGUAACUGACGCGGAGGCGCGAAAGCGUGGGGAGCGAACAGGAUUAGAUACCCGGGUAGUCCACGCGGUAAGCGAUGAAUGCUAGGUGUUGGGGGUAUGGACCCGUGGAUCGCCGGAGUAAACACAAUAAGCAAGCGGCCUGGGGAGUACGGCGGCAAGGUUGAAACGCAAAGGAAUUGACGGG
rnacentral:rRNA from 1 species